rnacentral:rRNA from 1 species
ACAAGCGGUGGAGCAUGUGGUUUAAUUCGAUGCAACGCGAAGAACCUUACCUGGUCUUGACAUCCACAGAACUUUCCAGAGAUGGAUUGGUGCCUUCGGGAACUGUGAGACAGGUGCUGCAUGGCUGUCGUCAGCUCGUGUUGUGAAAUGUUGGGUUAAGUCCCGCAACGAGCGCAACCCUUAUCCUUUGUUGCCAGCGGUCCGGCCGGGAACUCAAAGGAGACUGCCAGUGAUAAACUGGAGGAAGGUGGGGAUGACGUCAAGUCAUCAUGGCCCUUACGACCAGGGCUACACACGUGCUACAAUGGCGCAUACAAAGAGAAGCGACCUCGCGAGAGCAAGCGGACCUCAUAAAGUGCGUCGUAGUCCGGAUUGGAGUCUGCAACUCGACUCCAUGAAGUCGGAAUCGCUAGUAAUCGUGGAUCAGAAUGCCACGGUGAAUACGUUCCCGGGCCUU